UUUCCACAACCAAGCACCAGCAAUGAUCACAAAAUACACUAACACUGGGGAACACAGCCAGCUGGAGAAAUGCAGAACCGAAUAUUCUUCGUCUCUGACCAUCUGGCCAUGAGCUCCAUCUUAGAAAUACGGUGAAAAAACAUAUGCCAGCUUCUGACCUGAAACUAUCUACAGAAAAAAAGGUGGGAUUCCUGGAAAUCCUCAACAAACAGCUGUUUCACCUAAAACCUGCUAAUACUCUGGAUUGAGCUGUUCUCUCUCUUCUUCAAAG
rnacentral:lncRNA from 1 species